UUCGGGAAUCCAGCUGUAAGCUCUGGACCAUCUACGACAGACCUGGAGGGGAAAGGAGUCCUGGAAAAGACAAGAUCUCAAGGUGCUUGGAACAUAUUUUUGUGUCUACCUUAG